rnacentral:lncRNA from 1 species
CCAGGUGUGGGCCUUGCAGCCAGCUCGGGGUCCAAGGGGCACUCCUGGGGUGCAAAGGAGGAUUUGUGCCAACCCAGAGGAUGGAGGAAACGACGGUUUUGAAAAGGUUUGUGAGGAGUCCCGGGUCCCCUGCUGCUCCGUGAGAAAUCAAACUUCUGGCACUGACAAAGCAUGAAGCCAGCAUUUUAGGAAGAGGGCGACCGGAUUACAAUCCCAGCCAGUAUGAACAUGAGGCGGCGCGCAGUCCUGAAGAGGGAAGCCGGGCUCUGCUGACCUCGCUGUGCAUGCUGGGAGUUGUCGUCUCUUCACUACUCCGGCCCCUUGUUUCAGGCGCUUCGGGACUACAAUCCCAGCAUAACCCAGGCUCGGGGACCGGGCGCAGUUCUCCGGCGAAGAGCUGGGCGGCGAGCGCCUGGCUAGGCAGGCUGGAAACCGUGGCUCUUAACGGUUCCCCACCGGUUGGUGGCAAGGCGGCUGAACUAGAAUCCCAGCAGGCGACAUGCGAGGAGGCGGGCAGCCAGGGGGGUUGGAAAAGGCAGUGUGGACCUCGCCGCUUCCACAACUAUGCUGGUCUACUGAUCGCGUGCACCUCCUUGCCAAGGAGUUUUACAGUUUCUGGUUAAAUAACAAUGGUAUAUCACCUCCCAUCUGUUAGGAUGGCUGUCAUAAAAAGGACAAAAGAUAACAAGUGUUGGUGAUGGUGUGGAGAGAAGGGAACCCUUGUAUGCUGCUGGUUAGAAUGUAAAUAAGUUAGUACAGCCAUUAUGGAAAACAGUAUGAAGGUUCCUAGAAAUCUAAAACUAGAACUACCAUAUGGCUCAGUAAUCCCUCUUAUAAGUUAUAUAUCAACAGGAAAUAAAACCAGCAUGUUGUAGAGAUAUCUGCACUCCCCUCUUCCCUGUGCCCCACCACAGCAUCGUUCCCAACAGCCAAGUUAUGGGACCAAGUUACUGUACAUUGAUGGACAAGUGGAGAAAAAAAUUUGUGGGGGAGGUGUUUGUGUGUGUGUGUGUAUAAUAUAUCAUAUAAUAUUUUUCAACUUGUGAAAAGGAGAAGAUACUGCCAUUUGUGUAACAUAAAUGAACCUGGAGGAUAUUAAGCUAAGGGAAAUAACAGGGAGAGAGAAAAAUACUGCAUAGUUUCUGUUAUAUAUAAAAUCUUUAAAAAGAUUAAAUACCUAUAUAGAGACAGGACAGAAUGAUGACUGGGGGGAAAGAGACACAAGUCAACAUUUCAGUUACAUAAAAUAAAUGAAAUCUAGAGGACUAAAGUACAGUUUAAAGGUUAUAGUUACUAUUUUUAUAUGAUAUACUGGUAAUUUUUUUUUUUUUUUUUUUUAAUUUUUUUUUUUUUUUUUUUUUUUUUUUUUUUUUUUUUUUUUUUUUUUGAGACAGAGUCUCGCUCUGUCGCCCAGGCUGGAGUGCAGUGGCGCGAUCUCGGCUCACUGCAAGCUCCGCCUCCCGGGUUUACACCAUUCUCCUGCCUCAGCCUCCCAAGUAGCUGGGACUACAGGCGUCCACCAUCUCGCCCGGCUAGUUUUUUGUAUUUUUUAGUAGAGACGGGGUUUCACCG